rnacentral:rRNA from 1 species
UACGUAGGGGGCUAGCGUUGUCCGGAUUUAUUGGGCGUAAAGAGCGUGUAGGCGGCCAGGUAGGUCCGUUGUGAAAACUCGAGGCUCAACCUCGAGACGUCGGCGGAAACCCUCUGGCUAGAGUCCGGAAGAGGAGAAUGGAAUUCCCGGUGUAGCGGUGAAAUGCGCAGAUAUCGGGAAGAACACCCGUGGCGAAGGCGGUUCUCUGGGACGGUACUGACGCUGAGGCGCGAAAGCGUGGGUAGCAAACGGG